GCCUACAUGAUAAAUCCAAGAUGGCGGUACAACAGGGCAAAAAGACUAUAAAUUCUAUUACGAAAAUCAGGAUUUUUGCAUUUUUUGCCGUUGCAUUGUUUUGAAACUUAUUCGGUCAAAUUUUAUGGUAAAGAGAAACUUACCGCGAAGAUUUUGAGCAUAUAUAUGAUUGAAUUGGAUGAAAACUCGCAAAAUUAUCCAUCGAUAAAAGUUCGUGUAUAGUACUGAUAUAGUACUAUAUAUGUAACUUGUACAGUUUUGCUUUAAUUUUUGCUCACUAUUUGCAUAAAAAGCAAAUUAUAACAGACCAUAGAUGAUAGACCCUCAUCCAGUGCUCUCAUCAGUUUACUUCUCUAACAAGCAAGGAGGGGGGGGGGGGGGUUACAUAACAGUUCAUUUUUCAUAAUUAUGAGGACAGAGCAGAUGAUGAUGAGAGAUGCAAGUAUAAAACACCAUUCACAAGGCUAGAUGUUAACAUAGCACAGUAUUUCUGGCAAUAAAACGCUCCAACUGACCAACUGACCAUUUCACACGAACUUUUAUCGCUGGAUAAUUUUGCGAUUUUUCAUCCAAUUCAAUCAUAUAUAUGCUCAAAAUCUUCGCGGUAAGUUUCUCUUUACCAUAAAAUUUGACCGAAUAAGUUUCGAAACAAUGCGACGGCAAAAAAUGCAAAAAUCCUGAUUUUCGUAAUAGAAUCUAUAGUCUUUUUGCCCUGUUGUACCGCCAUCUUGGAUUUAUCAUGUAGGCCCCGCCUGCGCUAGGUAUGCGUUGGCAAUCUAGAUCUCCUAUAUCUAUGGUCCCA